rnacentral:lncRNA from 1 species
GCCUGGAUGAUUUAGCAACUUGAGGAAGCCCUGUCCCAAAAUAAAAAAUGAAAAGGGCUGGGGAUGUAGCUCAGGGCAAAGGCCCUGGUUCCAUCCUCCGAACUGCAAAGCAAAGCAAAACAAAGCAACGCUACUCCCCCCACCAAAAAAAAAAAAAAAAAAAAAGCAGAAAAACAAUAAACCUCCCACCACCACCACAACAGCAAAAAGCAGAAAAACAAAAACAGGAAAUUCCAUCACUUGCAAGCACACUUGCAAGCACACUUGUAAGCAAUUUCAAGAGGAAAUUGUGUUAAGUGAAAUAAGCCAGGCACAGAGGUUUUUGUUUUUUUUUUUUGGUACCGGGAAUCAAACUCGGGACCUUGUGAUUGAGAAGCACGUGGCAGCCUCACUGAGCUAAACCGCCGGUCCAGGCAGAGUUAAAUACUUCCGGAUCUCACUCAGAGAUGAAAUCUAAUGACGUUAAGGACCUGGGCUGCGGCUCAGUGGCAGAUGCUUGCCUUGCAUAUGCGAAGCCCUGGGUUCCAUCCCCAGAACUGCCACAAUAAAUAAAUGAAAAAGCUGAAUGCAAGGAAACAGAAAAAAAACAAAACAAAACAAAACAAAAAAAACGGUGGCUGCUGCGGGUUAGGGCGGUUGGGUGGUGGCUGGGGAAAAGGGUGGCAUUUGUGAAGGGGUAGAAAUUUAUACCUAUGGGCCGGGGAUGUAGCUCAAUGGUUCCGCCGCCUGCCCGGCAAAAGCGCAAGGACCUGAGUUCGAUCCCCAGUACCAAAGAAAAAAGAAGAAACAAAAUUUACACCUAGAGCAGAUGAGUCCAGGUGACCAGGGUUAUAAAUAAUAUAGUGCAUGUCAGCACCCGGCCAGAGAGGGUUUUCAUUUAUAUUUGUGUUGCUGGGGAUCGAACCCAGGGACCUGCGCUGGAGGCCGGAGUCACGUCCUCUCCGCCGAGACGUGAGACGCCCUCAGAGUGACCGGUCCUCUCCUUGCUCUGAUUCACUCCCCAACCCUCGAGCGCGGAGGAAGUAUCACUCCAAGCCCCACGACCAGGCACGGUGUCUUCCUGAGGAUGCGGGGAACUGGGUCGGUCCAGGGGCUGACUGCUCGGAACGGAGCCGCCCUUCGCCUGGCGGGUGGCGGAAGAGCUCCAUCUGUAACAUCUCUAGCAAGGGUGGAAAGCCUGUGGCACGCGUGCCGCAGCACGCAGGGCCUCUCCAGCGCGGGAGAAGCCAAGUCAGCC